rnacentral:rRNA from 1 species
UAUUGCACAAUGGGCGAAAGCCUGAUGCAGCGACGCCGCGUGAGGGAUGACGGCCUUCGGGUUGUAAACCUCUUUCGACAGGGACGAAGCGCAAGUGACGGUACCUGUAGAAGAAGCACCGGCUAACUACGUGCCAGCAGCCGCGGUAAUACGUAGGGUGCGAGCGUUGUCCGGAAUUACUGGGCGUAAAGAGCUUGUAGGCGGUCUGUCACGUCGGUCGUGAAAACUCACAGCUCAACUGUGGGCCUGCGGUCGAUACGGGCAGACUAGAGUACUUCAGGGGAGACUGGAAUUCCUGGUGUAGCGGUGAAAUGCGCAGAUAUCAGGAGGAACACCGGUGGCGAAGGCGGGUCUCUGGGAAGUAACUGACGCUGAGAAGCGAAAGCGUGGGUAGCGAACAGGAUUAGAUACCCUGGUAGUCCACGCCGUAAACGGUGGGUACUAGGUGUGGGUUUCCUUCCACGGGAUCCGUGCCGUAGCUAACGCAUUAAGUACCCCGCCUGGGGAGUACGGCCGCAAGGCUAAAACUCAAAGGAAUUGACGGGGGCCCGCACAAGCGGCGGAGCAUGUGGAUUAAUUCGAUGCAACGCGAAGAACCUUACCUGGGUUUGACAUACACCGGAAAGCCGUAGAGAUACGGCCCCCCCUUGUGGUCGGUGUACAGGUGGUGCAUGGCUGUCGUCAGCUCGUGUCGUGAGAUGUUGGGUUAAGUCCCGCAACGAGCGCAACCCUUAUCUUAUGUUGCCAGCGCGUAAUGGCGGGGACUCGUGAGAGACUGCCGGGGUCAACUCGGAGGAAGGUGGGGACGACGUCAAGUCAUCAUGCCCCUUAUGUCCAGGGCUUCACACAUGCUACAAUGGCCGGUACAGAGGGCUGCGAUACCGUGAGGUGGAGCGAAUCCCUUAAAGCCGGUCUCAGUUCGGAUCGGGGUCUGCAACUCGACCCCGUGAAGUUGGAGUCGCUAGUAAUCGCAGAUCAGCAACGCUGCGGUGAAUACGUUCCCGGGCCUUGUACACACCGCCCGUCACGUCAUGAAAGUCGGUAACACCCGAAGCCGGUGGCCUAACCC